rnacentral:rRNA from 1 species
ACGGGAAGAGCCCAAACCAACAAGCUUGCUUGUUGGGGUUGUAGGACACUCUAUACGGAGUUACAAAGGACGACAUUAGACGAAUCAUCUGGAAAGAUGAAUCAAAGAAGGUAAUAAUCCUGUAGUCGAAAAUGUUGUCUCUCUUGAGUGGAUCCUGAGUACGACGGAGCACGUGAAAUUCCGUCGGAAUCUGGGAGGACCAUCUCCUAAGGCUAAAUACUCUCUAGUGACCGAUAGUGAACCAGUACCGUGAGGGAAAGGUGAAAAGCACCCCGGAAGGGGAGUGAAAUAGAACCUGAAACCGUGUGCUUACAAGUAGUCAGAGCCCGUUAAUGGGUGAUGGCGUGCCUUUUGUAGAAUGAACCGGCGAGUUACGAUUUGAUGCAAGGUUAAGCAGUAAAUGU